UCACAUGCCUAACUAUACUAUCACCUGUUUCAUCCUGAUGAGCACCUCUAUAUAAGCUCUAGUUUGUCAGCGUCCCACCAUCAAGCUUUUGUUGUUGCAUUUGUGUGUACUAUAGUUUUGUUCAUAAUCUGCAUGCUUUUGUCCUGUCUUGUCCUGUCUGUUUAGGUUUAUGGUUCUUGUUUUCACACUUUAAGUUGUUUUUGCACUUUAUACAUCUGCUGCCUCUACAAAUCCCUGACACAUUACUUUUUACACUAAAGGAGCCAUGUUUUAGCAAGUGUUUACUCAAUGUUUCAGGAUCAGUAUUGGAAAAGAAAAUGUAAUAUUGUAGUAUCUGUAGUAAACAUGCUCACACUUGCCUUGACAAAACACAGAGCAGCUAGGGCUAUCGGAAAAUUCAGUUUCAAACACGUGACGGGCGUUGCCUAAUGAGAGCUUAAAUUUAAAAAAAAAAAAAAAAAAAAAAAAAACUCCAUUGUUUUGCAGUUAUUUGCAGCCGACAACCAUGCAGGAUAUUCAACACAGCAUAAAUGUGUCUGUCAUACCUUUAAAUAUUAACCUCUCAAGAGGUUCUCCGUGCUCAUCUAAAUAUUAACCACUCAAAUUUGCUUUGCUGUUGACUCCCACUCAUUUCCAGCAUGUUUUGUGACUAGUGUGUUCAUGCUUGCAGGUCAGAAUGAUGCCCACCGUUCAACAUCCAAAGGUACAGUAAUACUUGACAUUGACCUGCCGUUACAGUUCAGAGCACACCUGAGUGUACUGAAAGCCAAGCUCAACUGAUUAAACAGGUGGAAUCGGUUGUGGCUCCUGCUUGCUUGGAAUGAAAACCUGCACCCACACCAGCCCUUUCCUGAUAAGAUGGGACACCCCUGGUUUAUACAGUAGUAACCUGUUUUGUUUUUAAGCCCUUCCAGCCCUGCAGAUCCCUUGCUCUGCAAAAUGUAAUAACCUGCUGAUCAGCAUCAGGGGAAGUGAAAUAUUCUAACACAGCAAACAAAUUUCCUGUUUUACUGGAUUAGAUGCAAAGCAAGGUUAUUAUUGUUAACGAAAACAACAAAAACUAUCAGUGUAAAAAAAAAAAGGCAUUCUUGUGAACUGAAAUAAAAAUACAAAUGUGAGUUUACAAAUAAACAAAAACUAAACCACAACUAUAAUGUCCACCUGCAAUAAGAAUGAUAACUAAAUCGAAUUUCCGAUAAUAGAACUUACGAUUUCGUAUUUUAAAUGUUGGGUAGUCUGACUUAAGAACAGAGGUUGAACAGAGUGGAUCCAUCAUUCAGUACGUUUACAUGGACAACAAUAAUCCGAUCUCAACCCGAUUAAGAUGAUACUCUGAUUAAGAAACUACUUGGUAAAAAGUGAUUAUUGAUUACGUUAAUCCGGCUAAAGUCAUACUCUAAGUAAACACAAAUCAAAUUAAUCAAGUGGUUUGGGACGCAGCCGUGCUCUCGUUUGCCGGAAAACGGUUGAGCGCUGCCGUGUGUGAUCGUGUCCUGUCGCAAAAUGCGGUGAAAACUCCCACACAACGUUAAUAGUGUGAUUAAUGUGUUACACAUGUUAUACGUCGAUAAUGCGACUAAAACAGGAGUACUCCACACGUCUUAAAUUCCAUUUGUGUUUACUUCGAGUAUGACUUUAGUCGGAUUAAGGUCAUCAAUAAUCGCUGUUUACAUGCUAGUUUAUUAAUCAGAGCAUUGGUUAAUAUUUUGAUUAUUGUUGUCCAUGUAAACGUACUAACUGUUACAUAAAGCUAUUACAAAAACACCACCCACGAAGUUAUAGCAAAAACGAAGAAAACGUGCACUUUCCCCACGGUGCCUUACUUACAGUUCCGCCCAGAGUGAGCAUUCUCGGCAUAACGUACAUUGCGAACGGCUUUAGCGGACCAGUGCUCAUUAUAUCGAGCGAAAAUAAUGAAAACGAAGCUUGUGAAACAAUAUUAGCUUUGUCCUUUUAGCGGUAAUACUGUUUAGUAUCACCGAAAACAAAAUGAACUUGACUCCUCUUAUAAGAACUCCUUGGUACAGCAGUGGUUUAGUAGCAGUGGAGCACUAACGCCGGAAUAUGCAGCCUCUGGCAACCUAAGUGAAGUACAAACUAUAACCCUGCUGCAAAGUAUUAGUGUAGACCUUCUGUAAGCAUCCACAACCUUACCAACCCUGGUCCCUGCACACUUAGUUUGUGUUGGAGCAGUGAAGUGUGCAGGAGAGGAGAUACUCCAGGACCAGCUGGGGGGUCGUGUCCACUGUCAACAAACAACUAAUACAGGAAACCUACACCCCUACAGACACAUAUCAGUUGCAUGCAACUGUGCAUAACAGCUCUGCAGAAGGCGGGGUUGUGCUGAAAGCUUGCACGAGUUUUUAAACAAUAACAAAACAAGCGUAUGUGGCUUUUAUGCAUCUCUACAGGAAUUGAUUGAUCCUCCGGUGCUUCCAUAUAUACACCCCUCUACAAUAAGUAUACAAUGUUGCUGAUUACUGGGAUCACUAACAUCAUCCUUCUCACUGUUUAAGGUAUGCAUGUCGUCAGGGCCAGAGUUGGACCUAUUUUGAGCCCAAGUCCAGACCUUUUUUUCUUUUUUCAUGGUGGAAGAACUUGGAUAAAUUAAGUGAUAGUUCAGUUCUUACUAUCCCGCUUCAUAGCUUCCUUUAUGAAAGGAUUAUCACUCGCAGUAAGAGUAAAUGGCAAACACACUAUACAGUAGACUUACAGAGAAUGAGUUUUUUCAUUGUAUGUCAGUCACUUGUGGUUGGUUCCAUCCUUGCUGUGAUGAACCUAUGCUAUGGGACGUUUUGGAGGGUGCUGAGGAUGAUGAUACGUUUUCAAUUAUAUUUCUGUUUGUACUAUGUGCUAAUGAUGUCAGAUUCCACUACAAAUCGUUCUUUUGAGUCGAUUCUUAGGAAGUAACCGGUUGAGCGGAUACACAAACUCGAACUGAAUCGAACUUUAGUUCUGGGUUGAUGACGCAAGACGCACAGCCGAAGUAGCACGCUCCGAGGCAUGUCCGACUCCAAAAGAACCGAAUGAGCAGAUUCAACUAACUGUCGAAGUUUGAAUUAUUUAAAACUAUUUGCAAACUAAGGUCUCGAGAAUUUGAAGUAGGCGUUUUACUCGAUGAUGUUACAAUUUCUACAAUUUAAUAUAUUUGUUUUCCAGUUGUGAACAUGGGAUUUUUAUGUUUCAUUAGGCUUAAUGGAUGCCGUUGUUGUGAUGGACAUUUGAAGAAAUCUGAUUUUCUUCCAUUUAUGUAUCAACAACAACGUAGUAGCCUUUGUAACGACAAGCCAGUGUGUAUGCCAUGAGCCUGAGACACAGUUUGAGAUUAAUGAGUUAUUCUUUCUAUAUAAUUUAGACAUGUAGAACAUAUCUGCAUUUGUGCAUCAGUGUCUGUAAUGUGUGCUGCAGGUGCAAAACUUCAAUGUAGGAAACUUGUAAAAGAUGUAGGCUACUCGAUAUUGGUCAGUCGUAUCCAGCAUGAAGGAUCAGCGCAUGAAACUCAUUAACAAACACCAUUAACUUAAGUGAAUGAAAGGCAAUAAUCAGCCAUACGCCUUCACACAAAUGGCUUUAUUGACUGGACAAACUUCUUUAACUCAAACUAGAGCACUGUGAAAAUGCUGAAUUGUAUUCUCAUGUACACAUAUAAUUUUACACAUAUAGCUACACAUCCUGACAUAUUUGCGCGCACUGUAUGAGUUGUAUUGAGUUGCAUAUGCUCAUCUUUUUUCAUCUUCACUUGUCUAUCGUUUUGCCUAUAAGCAUAUAUUCUAUUCUGUUUAGAUAUUUUCAUUUAUUUGUACAUUACAUUCUAUUCUAUAUAUAUAUAUUUAUGAUAACGGAGC
ensembl:lncRNA